rnacentral:rRNA from 1 species
GUGGGGAAUCUUGCACAAUGGGCGAAAGCCUGAUGCAGCCAUGCCGCGUGAAUGAUGAAGGCCUUAGGGUUGUAAAAUUCUUUCGUCAGGGAUGAUAAUGACCGUACCUGAAGAAGAAGCUCCGGCUAACUUCGUGCCAGCAGCCGCGGUAAUACGAAGGGGGCUAGCGUUGCUCGGAAUUACUGGGCGUAAAGGGCGCGUAGGCGGACAGCUUAGUCAGAGGUGAAAGCCCAGGGCUCAACCUUGGAAUUGCCUUUGAUACUGGCUGUCUUGAGUUUGGGAGAGGUGAGUGGAACUCCGAGUGUAGAGGUGAAAUUCGUAGAUAUUCGGAAGAACACCAGUGGCGAAGGCGACUCACUGGCCCAAUACUGACGCUGAGGCGCGAAAGCGUGGGGAGCAAACAGGAUUAGAAACCCUAGUAGUCC